AGAAUCAACGCUGGCGGCGCGCUUAACACAUGCAAGUCGCACGAGAAAGUGGAGCAAUCCAUGAGUAAAGUGGCGUACGGGUGAGUAACACGUGGAUCAUCUACCUUUUAGUGGGGAAUACCUCCGGGAAACUGGAGACAAUACCGCAUAAGCUCGUGAGAGGAAAGCCGAAAGGCGCUGAAAGAGGAGUCCGCGGCUGAUUAGCUAGUUGGCGGGUAACGCCCACAAGGCGAAGAUCGGUAGCCGGCCUGAGAGGGCACACGGCCACACUGGCACUGAAACACGGGCCAGACUCCUACGGGAGGCAGCAGUGGGGAAUCUUGCACAAUGGGGGAAACCCUGAUGCAGCGACGCCGCGUGAGCGAUGAAGCCCUUCGGGGUGUAAAGCUCUUUCGACGGGAACGAUAAUGACGGUACCCGAAGAAGAAGCUGCGGCUAACUACGUGCCAGCAGCCGC
rnacentral:rRNA from 1 species